ensembl:lncRNA
ACGGCUAAAAUUAAAUUACACUGAUCAAUGAUCAUAAUCUGCAUUCAAACUGAAAUUCUUAUUGUUGGUUGCCUUUGUGUAAUUUCUCCUUUUUCUUUCCUUUUCUUUUCUUUCCAGGUCAUCAGAGGGCGAGGCUAACCAUCCUGUUCAGUGUCAGGCUAAGAGUGAGGAGAAAUAGAUUAGAGACAGUAUGAGCAGGGAGGAAAGUAAGGAUACAGGAUACGUGAGGAGAGACGCCAAGGAAGCAGUGUGGUCAUACUUGCCUGAUCUCCCUGAUGACCUUCUUACCACCAUGCUGGAUGAGCUUGGGGUCGAGUCUAUUGAAGAUCUGACCUUGGUGGAGGAGAGGGAUCUGGUGAAAUACCUCAAACCUAUCCAAAGUCGGAAGUUAAUGAAGGGCAUCAAGGACGGACUUGUUACUGUUAAUAUGGAGUUUGUCUCUGCUCCUGAUCCAAGUGCUCCAAGUUCCCCAACUCCAUGUUAUCCAAACGCAACAUUCCAGCCUCCAAAUCAGCUGUUGCCCAGCCCUCCAAGCACUGCCCCAAGCACGUCAAGAGCUUCACAGCCUGGCGUACCAUGGCAUGUUGAUUUUCGUCUCAACUGGGACCAGGUGUCAUCAGCCAUUCGACUUAGAGUGGAAAAAGAAGAAAGACCAUUGCCAGACGAGAGAAAGGCCUUCGUGGUCGUGCUCGUGGACCAAAUGAUGCAGCACGACCGCAACCCAACCAGAGCCAUGUGCCACAGCGUUGUGAGAAACAUUGUCAGGUAGGGAUGGGACUAUUAUCAAUAUUAGCUUUCAGUUAAUCCCCAGCCCCACCCCCUUCAACUGUUUGCAACUUUCACUGAUUAAUUCCCUGCA